GCUCAUUGCCGUAGCAUACAUUCACACUCUCAAAUCAGUACUGGUCACAUUCAUUCAAAUGUCGAUACUUACCUAUAUUUGAAUUGGAUUAUGUUGUUCUAGAAAAUCAACACACAAUUGGCUCACCUAUAGGUUCGUUAGGUGAACGAUUCGACAUUCAUUUCCAUUUAUGUGUGCUACUUUCUCGUAUGCUAGCAAAACCAUCUAACUUCGAUAGGCCGGCUUUUGUUGUUAUUAUCAUUGGUGUUUAUCUGAUGAAAAAAAUAGCGGCUGCUUGUCCUUUCAAGAGUGUGGACCUCCCACUGCUGCUAUCGCUGCUACGUUCGGGAAUCCUCUCGAUUAAGGCUUGCUUCUCUCGGAUAUUUAGCAUCUAGAUAAUAUUAUACUGCUAUUCAUUUAUUGGCCACGUUCGCCCUUCCGGUUGCAUUGCCCUCCUUGUUGAUACGGAGAAAGACACCGAUUCCUUCUCGUCUCUCGCCUGGCGCCUCAACUCCUUUCACGAAAUGGAGCUUCAACAGUAUCGAGUGCUUCUUUGGAACAAAGAAUAUCGAGAUAUUGCUAUACGUUAGACACUAUGUGCUAUGGCAGUAAGCCAAAACACGGCAGUAACAUAGCGAUGAAUAGAUGCGUUAUUUCCACAGCAGAAUAUGCCCCAGUCUGGCUGGCCUUGGGCUCAAUAAAUUUUUGGUUAAACGUCACUGUGCAGUCAUAUAUAUAGAUAUAUAUCGUCUUAACCGUUCAUUUCUGGGAAGAAUGCUUUGGAGCAAUGUGCCGGCGUCAUCGAUUCUAAGAUACUUCCGUCUAUUCAAGUUGCUAGACUGCCAGUGUUAUAACGCUUAGUUCAGCGGCUUAGAGUAAGCUAUUCAUGAAUGACGAUGGAACGGAAAAAUGGAACGGAGGGACUUUUCCCUUUUAUCUUUUAUUUAUAAAGAAAAACCAUUGGAUCAACGGUUACCAGUUGAUGCUAACGCUUAGGCUGUGGGCUGCCUAUUGCAGCUGUGCAGGCCAACCACAACACCAGCGACAACUGAUCCGGAUCAGAUUUUUUCAAAAAAAAAUUCUUUCUCAAACAUCGAAAGACGUAUAGCGAUCAAGAGGCAUGUAAGCUGGUAGAAAGACACUGUUAUGGGGUAACGGCGACGAUGAUUUGUCGAAAUGUGUUGUACUCCGUGUGGCAACAGCUACCGUCUACCAUCUGAGCGUGUCCUAGACCGGCGAACGAAAGGCCGUAGGCAGAGAAUCGUUAGCGGGACAAUCUUCAAACUGCUACUUGCAGCUAACGCUCAUUGAGCUGACAUAAAUGAGCAAACGGGAAUGCGCUGCUAUGUCUAUGGACCUUCGCUACGAGAUCUUCUGCCUACUGCUGUUUCUGCUACUGAAAGUAACGGGACAGUCAUAUUUGCUUGGCACGAAUUCCACAAAGGCAAACAUAAGAUAUCCGAGUAUAGGACACCGGAGUAUAUGACAGCAUCAUCUCAAAAGGGAUCCGUCGCCUAUGACGUGAGCAGAGCGAAGGAGGAGGUCAGAACGGGAUUUUACGCUACAUUCCUUGAGAUUGCUGCCUUUCUGUAAAGCCGACAAGGGCACAUGUGCCUGUUCAAACAAUGCGCCCUCUUGGGUACGUUUUUCGUCGUCGCUUGUUGCUAGUGGAAAAUACAUACAAUAUCUAAGAACAGUACAAUUGCUAUGACUCGAAACAUACAAUAUGUACAGAGGCAGUUAGCGCGCCUGACGUUGUUGAGUACCGGCAAGCAUUCCAGGUAGAAGCUACGAAUUGAAGAGUGAGAUGAAAACGGUCUUUACUUUACUUUCUUAUUUCGCUUUCGGUUUUUGCUUAACACUUAUCUACAGCCAUGUUCUCUGGCGAAUAUAGUUGUAGGUAAGAACUAUACAUAUUAUUCUAAAUACGGUCGGUUCUAUUUUACACCAUGAAUCAUUCUUGAAAUGUUUCAAUAGAGUCUUUUUAACGACAUGGGUUGGCGAAACGCAGACCAGCUGUAGAUUCGUUUGGUCACAUUGUUCUAAUAAUAGACCUUUGUAAAGUAAAGAGAAAGUGUAAAUCUAUUUCAUAUUUAUGUGCGUUUGACGCUUUUCGCUUGCCUACUUGGAUGACUUUUAUACCUAACUAACACGCCAUCAAAUGUAUGAGAUUUGAAUUGAUUUAUAUUUGGAAAGCAUGCUCAGUGUAUUGGGCUGGCUUUCGAAAAACGCGUAUUCUAUUAAAUGUUAUAUCUGCUGAAGGACUUAGUUGUUUAUUCAGUGAAGUGCAUCGAUACCUGCCCAUUGAAGGCUGCUUAGGUUUCCUACGACUGAAGAUCCAUGUGAUACGAUAUAGUGCCGACAGUUUACUUUUAGCGUUUGACAGCCAGCUGAUUAUAAUUCGUCAACAAACGAUUGCGGAAAUGCGAACGAAUACAAUAGACACUUACAAACCCUGCUUCCGACUAAGUGUUCAUUUCCCAGGUAGUUAGCCAUAAUUUUGCAAGCAACGUAAAGUAUGAUUCAAUUUUGUAUGCUUACAGCUUCUUUUUAACCUCUUCUCUCUCUUUCUAGACUAGCCCGACAUAGAAACACGUCUUCAUUUCGGUCAUUUUGUACUAGCCUAUCUCCUCGUUUCGCCCCGCCACCAUUUACACGAAAUGAAUAAACUCAACGUAAACGUUCAUAUCAUGUCCUUCUGGGGUUUCAGCAGCUACGUUCCUUGACACUUACUCGAUCUCUGUAUUUGAACCACGCCCCUGAUAUUAUCAUGUUUCUACCUCUUUUUCUUUCUAUUUCUAUUUUGAGUUUGGCCUGGACAGCGCUCAUCAGCGGCGUUCUGUGGCCGUGUUCAGCAAAAACAAUUUCAGGUUAAGUACCUCUCAGUCUAAACUUAUUCUACGACUGGCCUCUCCCCGAUUGGUUUACGCUAACUCUUCGUUGCCUUCAAAGCCUUUCCUGUCGCUACCUCUACUGGUGCAGCUGGUGUUUCUUCUCAGCCGACGUUGCAGCUGUUAUCACCGCCAGUUCAUGAAAUCUUUGAUCUGAUCUAAGAUUUUAUAAAAAUCUCCAAGUUCUUUUGCUAAGAUUUAUUAGCAUAAAAAUUCGCGGCAAAGCCUCUGCUGAAAUCGUUGAAGUUUCGAUCUCUAAGUCGGUCCUUGCGCGACUUUGCUUCCCCACAAGGAAGGCUUGCUAGAUAUAUGGAUCAUAUCGUGGCGAUAACUGAGACGGACUAAGCACACGUAAUUAAUUAAUUCAUUCAUUGCCAUCGAUGAAGCUUUUUCUGCUGCCCUUGGCGCCGUUCUGCACUAAAACUUCAGCGACGACGAAAUCGUCUUUGAAGAAGGAACCGGCAGUAUUCGCAGCUCCCUAAGGGACCGUUCAUCUGAAUGAACCUAUUCGGAACGGUGCCAGUGACUGAGCGAAUACAAAAACCAAUCGACUGAUUAUUUCGUUCUCGAAAAGAAAAAGCGUCGACUCACGGGCUGACGUUGCGACAGAAAUGAGAUGGGGAUUGGCGAUGAGAGAAACUAAACGAUACUAGAGCUGGUCGACUCGCUGGUAUCGUGCAUCGAAAAGCGCCCGCCAACCGUGGUGUAUUGUAUUUACCUGUUCAGCGCACGGCAAUACGUGGUGAUUCUGAUAAUGACGUGGGUCUAAAAAAAACUUAAUUUAUACCUCCAGCCAGUUCUCCUGUCGAAGUCUUUACUGCGUGUGGGAAAAUAAGCGAAAAUCGUGUAGAGCUAACGGUAAUGGUGUUACGUUCGACAUCCCUUUGAAGAUCUAAUUUGUAAUGCGGUGAUUGCGCGUUUCCAAACUCGCACCGAAAGUAUGCGUAAAGCCAUAUAUUGUUUAUAUAUAUAUAUAUAAACAAUAUAAAGCAAGGUAAACUUGUAAGUAGCCAAUAUGACUACAAACAAUGUAUUGGAAUAGCUUGUUGUGGCUUUCGUCUACGGAAAACUUGGUUUGCCGUAUUUUCAUAAAAGUACGAGACUGCACGAUUUACAGGCGUUUUUGCAAAUUUAAGCCAAAAGACUCGCGUCCUAAGCUUCAACCAAUUGUAUCAACCUAUUGCUUUUCGCGGACACACUAACGGCAUUAAUCCUGCCAUUAUGAUGCAUUAGUUGUCGUUGAAUAAACAUAUCCAAUUGUAUAUAGAUAAAGAAAGCACGCGUAGGCUGUACAUACACAUGAUCACACAGCUCCGGGACUAUUCUCUAGUUUUGCAGAAUUGCCCUCACAUCUGAUUCUUUUUCUGCUUGGAAUUUUCCAACCUAAUCUUUGUCGCACUCACAGGUAGCUGACACGUGAAGACGGUAACGCUAUGCAGAUCACAAUAAGAUAGCUGACUUCCGUAUACGCCUGCACGCGGCAGCUCUGUCUCCGACACAUGAUACACGUCGUGCCGAAUUGUCAGCUUAGUAAGAAGUGCAUACACAAAACGAAGGCGAAGGGGUAUUUCUGACAGCAUACAGACAACACCUUUAUUGCCGGAUUUGACAGGUACGCUGGCCUGUGCUUCGUAAACGACUGUAGUAAGCAAAGACGACUUGCCCUGUUUCCCUCUUCUUUUUCCCUUUGGAAUCGUUAACUGUGGGGUAUGCUGCGACACUUGAUAUUCGCACAGGAUAGGCCGUAGUUAGUGUGAAACUGUUUAUUGCGUUUAUACUGUUUUUGAACGAGCGAUCUUAUUAAUCAAUUAUGUAUAACUAAAUAGGUAACGUUAUCUUGAAAAAUAACUUCGUUCGUAUCCCUUGACAACUCUAGCUUAGGCGGUAUAACAAUCAGGGUCGAUAUAUGACUCGUUUCAGCUACGGUGGAAAUCGUCAUUAUAGAACAAGUUACGAAAUAUUAUGUAUACGCACUAUGGUAGAUACACUAUUAAUUGAAUAAGAAAUUUCUUGUCGGUCUGUUAACUAAAAAUAAUUGAUUAAAUUAUUAUUCAACUUUGUGUAUAAUUGCUAAGGCAAAAAAAUAUAAAUGGCAAAAUGCAUGAUUAGGGUUAAACAAAUAGUAAUUAAGGAUCUUUCAUAAU
rnacentral:lncRNA from 1 species